rnacentral:rRNA from 1 species
UACAGAGGUCUCAAGCGUUGUUCGGAUUCAUUGGGCGUAAAGGGUGUGUAGGUGGCGCGCUAAGUCGGGUGUGAAAUUUCGGAGCCUAACUCCGAAAACUGCAUUCGAUACUGGCGUGCUUUUGAGGGACUGGAGAGGAGACUGGAAAAUUUUCAUGGUGUAGCAGUGAAAUGCGUAGAGAUCAUGAGGGAAAGACCCAGUGGGCGAAAGGGCGGGUCUCUGGGACAGUUUCCCGUGACACUGAGACACGAAAGGGCCCAGGGAGCAAACGGG